ACAGGCAAUCAGUUUGCAUGAUGAAUGAAGUAAAUGUCUGACAUUAUUAGUCAUGGGAUCCAUGAAACAUGGCUGAAGUGCAUCAGUUUGUGAUCUGUUCCCACCAAGCUUGAUCUGUUUGAACAGGCAAUCAGUUUGCAUGAUGAAUGAAGUAAAUGUCUGACAUUAUUAAUCAUGGUAUCCAUGGUGCCAGCUGGCUGAAGCCUUUCUUUU